ACGAAGGGUGCAAGCGUUACUCGGAAUUACUGGGCGUAAAGGGUGCGUAGGUGGCUUUUUAAGUCUGCUGUGAAAUCCCCGGGCUCAACCUGGGAAUGGCAGUGGAUACUGGAAAGCUGGAGUGCGGUAGAGGGUAGUGGAAUUCCCGGUGUAGCAGUGAAAUGCGUAGAUAUGCGGAGGAACACCAAUGGCGAAGGCAGCCCUCUGGGCCAACACUGACGCUCAUGCACGAAAGCGUGGGGAGCAAACAGGA
rnacentral:rRNA from 1 species